rnacentral:rRNA from 1 species
GACGAAGGUGGCGAGCGUUGUUCGGAAUCACUGGGCAUAAAGCGCACGUAGGCGGCGGCGUAAGUCGGAUGUGAAAUCCCUCGGCCUAACCGAGGAACUGCGUCCGAUACUGCGUUGCUUGGGGACCGAAAGGGUGCAUGGAAUUUCCGGUGGAGCGGUGAAAUGCGUUGAUAUCGGAAGGAACGUCGGCGGCGAAAGCGGUACACUGGUUGGUUACCGACGCUGAGGUGCGAAAGCCAGGGGAGCAAACGGGAUUAGAAACCCGAGUAGU